GAUGAAGAACGUAGCGAAAUGCGAUAAGUAAUGUGAAUUGCAGAAUUCAGUGAAUCAUCGAAUCUUUGAACGCACAUUGCGCCCUCUGGUAUUCCGGGGGGCAUGCCUGUUCGAGCGUCAUUAUAACCACUCAAGCUCUCGCUUGGUAUUGGGGCUCGCGGUUCCGCGGCCCCUAAAAUCAGUGGCGGUGCCUGUCGGCUCUACGCGUAGUAAUACUCCUCGCGAUUGAGUCCGGUAGAUCUACUUGCCAGCAACCCCCAAUUUUUACAGGUUGACCUCGGAUCAGGUAGGGAUACCCGCUGAACUUAAGCAUAUCAAUAAGCGGAGGA
rnacentral:misc_RNA from 1 species